UACGUAGGGUGCGAGCGUUGUCCGGAUUUACUGGGCGUAAAGGACGCGUAGGCGGCCUGUUAAGUGUGAAGUGAAAUCUCCAUCGCUCAACGAGGAAAUUGCUUCGCAUACUGGCAGGCUGGAGGGACGCAGAGGUAAGCGGAAUUCCUGGUGUAGCGGUGAAAUGCGUUGAUAUCAGGAGGAACACCGAUGGCGAAGGCAGCUUACUGGGCGUUACCUGACGCUGAGGCGUGAAAGCGUGGGGAGCAAACAGG
rnacentral:rRNA from 1 species